GUGUGAAGAAACAGUGCUCAUUACGUUGAAUACCAAGAGUUCGAAAACCUUUGCCAAGCAAUUCAAUAUAGAGAUACCCCUGUAAUUCUCUACGAGAUGUAUGUUCCCAGAUUUGUGAAUGGGAGUGAUUGCAGCAGUUUUCCAGAGUUUAGGGAAGGUAAAUGUCUCCAGGGACUUGUUAAAUAUCAUGCUUACCGGAAGUGCCAGAGAGUCACAGCACCGCUUGAUGAAAAUCGGGGGCAGACUUUGCUUAGCGAUGUCGGUGGGGUUGCCUCUAUAAAUUUUUAUAGCUUUCCUCAGGCGGUUUUUUAAAUUCGAUAGCUCACGAUUCCACCAUUCAAAUUUUUUGGGGUUAUGGCGGGCACGCGCUGGUACGUUUCUACUUAGAAUAUCGUUAAUGCGUGAGUAAAAAGCCUCAGUUGCUGAAUCUACAUCAAGCGUGCUGGGAUCAAGAAUGGAGGUCCAAUUUUCUUGCUGUAUGAUAAAGUCGAGUUCGUUAAAGUCGCAGUUUCUAAAAUCGUACCGAACGUCACUUGCGUCGUCAACAUCCUCAAAAGUGUUUGAAGUAAAUGAAACUACGAACGGGGGGUGGUGGGAAUCCUCACGCAGAAGUGGCUGAGGGGGUUCGAAAACCUGGAAACUCGUGGAGUCGCUUGUGAAGGCCAGAUCCAACAUACGCUCGUUGGAGUUUUUAAUGUUGUUCAUUUGAUGUAAACCAAAAUCUGUUAGCGCGUUAAUGACAAUAUAUUCCUUCGAUUGAAGCAAAUCGGGAACGUCAACGUUAAGAUCGGUAUCAGGAAGAAAACUAUUCAAUUCUUCGUCGAAAAUCCAUGAAACGUAGGGCAAGUUAUAAUCUCCUAUUACCAACAAUGAAUCUGUGCUUGAGAGCUGCUCGGAUAAUUGUUCGAUGCAGAGCGUAUGAGAUUUGUAGCUGGAAGCAGUCAAAUCAGGACUCAGAUAAACCGCGCAAAUGAAUAAUGAACAAAAUCCGAGUUUGAUGCGUACACACGUUUGCUCGAGGUGCGCGCUAUGACGAAGAGGAACUUCGCUACACGAAAGAGAUGGUCUUACUGCUAUGAUAACACCUCCCCCUCUUCCUAGAUUGCUAGUCUGGGCUGAGCGAUCAGCUCUAUAAAUUUGAUAACUAGCAGAAAACUCUGCGCUAUUGAUGCCCGCAUGCAACCAGGUUUCAGAAAAAACAAUCACAUCGUACUCACAUUCAGCUAGUGCGAUGAACAGCUCCCUUGUCUUUGUACGCAAACCUCUAACGUUUUGGUAGUAAAUCGUCAAUUCAUGUUUGCGAUUAGGGUUCACGGUUGAGGCGCACAGCUUGCUCGGAAGCGACGCAAUAGCUACGUCGGUAUGGGACGAUGAAUAAACAAUAUCAUCAUUAGCUUGUAGAUGUUCACUCGCGUCGAUGAUUUGAUGGGCGUCGCCAAAGACCGACGGCUUGUUUAUAAAUUGUGUUCUGAACAAGUUCGGUGCGGAAGAUUGUGCAAGUCCGGUUGGAUCCACGGGAUCGGGGCGAUAUGACGAUACCAGCUGGCCAGAAUCCGUUUGCGGUUACGGCGGAUUCAGGGAUAUUUUUUGAAGUGAUGAACUUUACGACGUCGCCGCAGGAUGUUGUGGUCGUGAAGUUCCGGACGC